CAGGGAUUGCCUUAGUAACGGCGAGUGAAGCGGCAAAAGCUCAAAUUUGAAAUCUGGCACUUUCAGUGUCCGAGUUGUAAUUUGAAGAAGGUAACUUUGGAGUUGGCCCUUGUCUAUGUUCCUUGGAACAGGACGUCACAGAGGGUGAGAAUCCCGUGCGAUGAGGUGUCCAAUUCUAUGUAAAGUGCUUUCGAAGAGUCGAGUUGUUUGGGAAUGCAGCUCUAAGUGGGUGGUAAAUUCCAUCUAAAGCUAAAUAUUGGCGAGAGACCGAUAGCGAACAAGUACAGUGAUGGAAAGAUGAAAAGAACUUUGAAAAGAGAGUGAAAAAGUACGUGAAAUUGUUGAAAGGGAAGGGCUUGAGAUCAGACUCGGUAUUUUGCAAGCCUAUCCUUCGUGGAGAGGUUUAUUAGCAGCUUACCGGGCCAGCAUCGGUUUGGAUGGUAGGAUAAUGGCAUUGGAAUGUGGCUCUUCGGAGUGUUAUAGCCUUUGUUGAUACUGCCUAUCUAGACCGAGGACUGCGUC
rnacentral:rRNA from 2 species